AUUGCUGAAAACAUCUUUGAAAUUUGGCUUGAUUUCUUGCUGUUUGGUCGGAAACAGGAAUCUGAUUGGUUCUGCAGCAGCAGUUUUGUCGAGGAACUCUGGGAAAAGACAUGUUGGUAGCUGGGGGUUGUGCUGCCUACUGCAUACCGCUGCUCAAUUAAUCCAAGCGGCAGUGCAGGCAGAAAUGUGGGUUGGCGGCGUGAACACCGGACAGAUGAAUUUCAGCAGUCUGGUCCUCAGUGGUGUCAGCCUCGUGGAUCUGGUUGUCGAACCACAUGUGGGCCACUGUCAUGCGGUUCUGGGUCAGCGUGCCCGUCUUGUCGGAGCAGAUGGUGGAGGUGGAGCCGAGAGUCUCUACGGCCUCCAGGUUCUUCACCAGACAGUUCUUCUUGGCCAUUCGCUUGGCAGUGAGAGUCAGACACACCUGGGAGGACGAUGGGAGAAUAUUCUCGGUUUUACCAGUGAAAAAGUUGUCGUGAGCUGAGCCCUGACUGAUGCAAACAAGACAGCCUGGCAUGGAAGAUGAAAGCCUCUUCCAGCUGGUGUACUAUUUAAGCUCAGCUCUUUUGCCUCUUCUCACUUUGGGAAACAUUUGCUCUUGUUCACCAGCUGCACAGGAUGGAAGUAACAUCUGUCCAAGCAGGUGACGCAUUUGGGAUCUACUAAAGUUUAGAGGUUUAAAGGAAAAUUGCAGACAUGAAUCUUAAAACAUGGCAGUAAAUUGUGUAAGUUCAGCAGCACUUUCAGAAGCCUGGGGAUGCUAAAACAUUUUCUCAGACGGAGGAAGACAAUGCAAUCUUUCAGCUUGAACACAAAAAUUAUGAAAAUUAAGUUUUAAUCUGACACCAGCAAUGUAUAAAUUUCUGUUAGGGUGGAUUUUCAUCUGAAAUGACUGCUUGUACAUUAUGCAAAGGCUCAAAGUGCCAAAGCUGCAGGCAGUCGGGGCUUUGAAGUAGCUCACCAGAGCAUCCAGCUGUACAUACUCAGCACUGAAUGUUGAGAUUAAAUCAUGGGAAGAUUAAAGUUAUCACGUGUGUGCAUGUGUCUGUGUCUAUCUACUGUAUGUUACUGUAUAUUACGCAACGGCUUAAUGCUGUCUGGGGUUUGGAGAGCGCUGAAAGGUGCAUAAUGACUCACAGCCAUGAGGCGCAGUAUGGAUGGCUGCUUGGCUCCAUUUGAUCAGCGGUUGGUGUGAGUAUUUAUCUGUGCUAAUGCCAGGAACGAUGCCGACGUCAGCAGUUGUUCUGACGUCAC